ensembl:lncRNA
CACAAUUCAGGUCUGGACACAUAAUUCAUGCUGCAGUGAUUGGUCCAGGGAUUGUCACAGGGGACCCACGUGGGUCAGUCAGGACCCUAUUCUGUGUUUCUUCUUACUGAAGUUGGAGAGAGAAGUCUUUUUCCUCUGGAGCCAUGAAUGUGGGAUGAGGAGGCAGAGGUCCCCCGCAACAGGAGAGGACAGUCGCUGUGAGAAGAUGAAGCUGGUAAAUCCUGGUCAUGACACAAAAACCCAGAGCAAGUUCUGUCUUCCAGCAAGUUGUUCACCUUCACUCUACUCUUCUUUCUUCUAUAAUAAAACAAGAAGAUUUAACCAGAAUCUGUCUCCAGCAGAAAGGAGAGGGUGGAGUUCUUCGUCCUCCGUCUGAGUCAGGACUAAGAACUCACGGAAGCCAGAGGCACGAAGGCUCUGGAGAGCUGAGACCUUGAUCCGAGUUAGAGCUUGCAAAUGUUUCAUUUAAGAAUUUAAACUCAAGAAGACAUUUAAGAAGUUGGAAGGUGAGAAAUAUGAAAUGAUGCGAGAUACCACAUGCAGAAGCAAACACGUGAUCCAAAGGGAACAUUUUCUUCGGCAACUUGUCAUCUAGUUCCGUUUGUGAGAUGAAUGGGCUUUACUGCUCCUCGCUUCUUCCUCUCCCAUUCACAUAUUAUUGAAAGGAAUUACUUUUACUCAUUUUUCUUCAUACAUGGUUGCUAAAUCCUUUUAGUGUUUCCCGUUUCUUUUUUUUUCACAUUUAUAUAUGCAUGCUUUAUCAACCUAGGAUCAGUUUUAGAAAUGUAGCUUCACAUUUAUCUAAGAUUUUAGGAUGAUUAGGACCCAUUCUUUUAAAAAUUUUGUUUAUUUAGGAUCCACUGUGAACUCUUAUGAGAAAGAGUUGUUUUCAGUAUUUUCUCUGUCUCCUUUGUUUCAGGAUGAAGCCAAGUCCUGAGCGUUACUUAAGAUAACUCAAUAAAUUAUAAGCACAUGUCUGUUGAACAAAGGCAAUAUUUUUUGACUCUAAAAUUUUUGGUUACACAGUUUUGAGUCAUUCCAAACCACAGUUGCAAUAGCCUCUAAAGUGGAUGAAACAUCAUAAGUAUUUCUCAAGUCAUUGUGAUAUGAUGGUUUAAUUAAAAUGCUUAAUCAAGCUUCAGAGAAUAUGUGAAAGGACUAAUAUAGCUCUUUGGAAGAAUGAGAGGCUUAAGGAGUUAGAAGAAUUCAGGAAUGAACAUGGGUUGUAGUGCUAAGCCUGAGUAAUAAAUUCAAUAUUUUCAACACAGUAUCUGGAGUGAAGAGUGACAAUUUUCUGGGACCAAAGAGGAUGAGAUGAGAUUCUAGAAAUUCUACAAAAGAGGCUGAGGGAUGCAUUUUAUAAUGACUUUGUGGAGAAGAUCAUAGACAUCAAAACUGGAAAAAUGUUGUUCAAUCAAGAUUUCACCCUAAGAAGUAAAGGCAGGUGGCCUUGGACUAAUUAUCUUUUGGCUGAUCCGAAUUCACAAGCCCUCAAUUGUAGUAUCAGGAGUAGCGGUACUUUCCAAACCCUGUAAAACAGGGCACGAUGUGCAUUUGCUGUGUGCUUUAACUGUAUG